AGGGGAUCGAAAGACCUUGCGCUUUGGGAGCGGCCGAUGUCUGAUUAGCUAGUUGGUGGGGUAAAGGCCUACCAAGGCGACGAUCAGUAGUUGGUCUGAGAGGACGACCAGCCACACUGGGACUGAGACACGGCCCAGACUCCUACGGGAGGCAGCAGUGGGGAAUUUUGGACAAUGGGCGCAAGCCUGAUCCAGCAAUGCCGCGUGAGUGAAGAAGGCCUUCGGGUUGUAAAGCUCUUUCAGUCGAGAAGAAAAAGCUGCAGUGAAUAACUGUAGUUCAUGACGGUAUCGACAGAAGAAGCACCGGCUAACUACGUGCCAGCAGCCGCGGUAAUACGUAGGUUGCGAGCNUUAAUCGGAAUUACUGGGCGUAAAGGGUGCGCAGGCGGCUUGUAAGUCAG
rnacentral:rRNA from 1 species